rnacentral:rRNA from 1 species
GAUGAACGCUAGCUACAGGCUUAACACAUGCAAGUCGCGGGGCAGCAUGGGGGUUGCUUGCAAUCCCCGAUGGCGACCGGCGCACGGGUGAGUAACGCGUAUCCAACCUGCCCUUCACCACGGGAUAACCCGGCGAAAGUCGGACUAAUACCGUAUGUUGUCCAUUGACGGCAUCCGAUUUUGACUAAAGGUUUGGCGUUGAAGUGUGGGGAUGCGUCCGAUUAGCUGGACGGCGGGGUGACGGCCCACCGUGGCGACGAUCGGUAGGGGUUCUGAGAGGAAGGUCCCCCACACUGGAACUGAGACACGGUCCAGACUCCUACGGGAGGCAGCAGUGAGGAAUAUUGGUCAAUGGGCGUAAGCCUGAACCAGCCAAGUAGCGUGCAGGAAGACGGCCCUAUGGGUUGUAAACUGCUUUUAUGCGGGGAUAAAGUGGCCCACGUGUGGGUUUUUGCAGGUACCGCAUGAAUAAGGACCGGCUAAUUCCGUG